CACAUCAAGGGCGCUUGGAUUCCUCAUUUAAGUUUAAAUUUUGGUCUGUGAAAAAGCUAGCCUCCGCCAAACACGCGCAUAAACAGUUAAUUGCAUAUCACUAACUGAAAUCAAAGGUAUAUUACCCGUUAUAUAACUUUUUUUACCAAAAUGUCACUACCCGAUGUCUUCAACUCCAUCGGACAACCGGCAUCACCCACUUGACGUGAAGUUGUCGUCAGGAUAAAUUCCAUCACAGACCACGUUUAGGAAUAAAUGAACACUGAAAACCCAGACAGAUCACGACGCAAGUACGCUGGAAUGAGGCACGCUGCGAAAUGAAAUCUGUAAUGUGUAGACGAAUGAGGUGGAACGCCAUGACUACCAAGGAAGGUUUGAACAAGCGGUUCUGACAGCUAAUGAAGUCACCUAUUAUACCGCAACUCCGGAUAUUCCUGAGUCUUCAUAAUUUCUGCCAGAUUCGAGAUCUUUUGAGGAACACGCUGUGUGACGUCACAAGACAGCAACUAAGUACUACCUUCCCCUCCUUUCCCCGUAUACCCAUACUCCAAUGAUACAGGGUACAGAGCCUAAAAGAAGAAGAAGAAGAAAAAAGGAUGGUUGUCUUUCUGCAAGCCUCUGUUCUCAAGAUAUCUUGAACAAAGAGAAGAUGAACAAAGAUAAAGAGAGAACAUUGCCAUAAAGGGAAUAAAAUCUACAACAAAAUGCGGCGAGAAAUAAUAAUGGCAUCGGCAUGCCUUGUGCCCACCCCCGCCUCGUCUAGGUCAAAAGGAGGAUUCCUGUCCGAAGGGGGUCAGGGAAUCCUACGGUAGGAAUGGGGUGAGGGGUGGCUGGAGGAACGGGGAACGGGGGA